UACGUAGGGGGCUAGCGUUGUCCGGAAUCAUUGGGCGUAAAGAGCGUGUAGGCGGCCCGGUAAGUCCGCUGUGAAAGUCGGGGGCUCAACCCUCGAAUGCCGGUGGAUACUGUCGGGCUAGAGUGCGGAAGAGGCGAGUGGAAUUCCUGGUGUAGCGGUGAAAUGCGUAGAUAUCGGAAGGAACAUCAGUGGCGAAGGCGACUUCCUGGACCAAUACUGACGCUCAGGUGCGAAAGCGUGGGGAGCAAACAGG
rnacentral:rRNA from 1 species